UUGCUUUUUUUUUUUUAAACAAUAGUUGUUAAACACAUCGACAGAUAAAGACCUCCAUUGACUCCCCUGUGGACCUUGGGUAAAAUCCAAGGCCUGACAGCUUUCAAGGUCUCAUCCCUAGGCUCUCCCUGGUCUCGUCCAGCAUAUUGCUUUCUGUAGUACUCAUGUAGGCUCUUUCCUGGCCUUUUCUUAGGGCUUGUUCUGCCCUUCUCCCAGAGCACGGAUUAUGCAGGUGGUUAUCUGGGAGUUUCUGCAGAGUCUGACUGUCCUGUCCCUCAACAGCCCUUUCCUGUCAUUCUCCUGCUUCAGUUCCUCUCCACCUACUGCCUAUGUGUUUUCCUGUCUAUGUCAGUCUUCCUGUGACACGUGGCCCUUUAGAGCUCCUUUGUACAAGGUUGGGGACACCACAGAGUGUGUCAGGGCAGGGGGACCGGGUAGGGGUCAUUCAGCAAGUGUUUGCUGGACGAACCAACCAAUGUUAAAUUCUCCCUGGAAUCAUGCAAAAUCCAUUCUUGUGUGGUUGACCUUUUGUGCCUCUUGUUUCGAAGUUAAACCGAGAGGAAGAGAAAGCCAUGGUCGAUUGUUUUCUAUGUUCUCUCCUCCCUCU
rnacentral:lncRNA from 1 species